AGAGUUUGAUCCUGGCUCAGGAUGAACGCUGGCGGCGUGCUUAACACAUGCAAGUCGAACGAACCCUUCGGGUUAGUGGCGGACGGGUGAGUAACGCGUGAGAAUCUGCCCUCAGGAGGGGGAUAACGGCUGGAAACGGCCGCUAAUACCCCAUAUGCCGAGAGGUGAAAUGAAUUUCGCCUGAGGAUGAGCUCGCGUCUGAUUAGCUAGUUGGUGUGGUAAAGGCUCACCAAGGCAUCGAUCAGUAGCUGGUCUGAGAGGAUGAUCAGCCACACUGGGACUGAGACACGGCCCAGACUCCUACGGGAGGCAGCAGUGGGGAAUUUUCCGCAAUGGGCGCAAGCCUGACGGAGCAACGCCGCGUGAGGGAUGAAGGCCUCUGGGCUGUAAACCUCUUUUAUCAAGGAAGAAGAUCUGACGGUACUUGAUGAAUAAGCCACGGCUAAUUCCGUGCCAGCAGCCGCGGUAAUACGGGAGUGGCAAGCGUUAUCCGGAAUUAUUGGGCGUAAAGCGUCCGCAGGCGGUCUUGAAAGUCUGUUGUUAAAGCGUGGAGCUCAACUCCAUUUCAGCAAUGGAAACUAGAAGACUAGAGUGUGGUAGGGGCAGAGGGAAUUCCCGGUGUAGCGGUGAAAUGCGUAGAUAUCGGGAAGAACACCAGUGGCGAAGGCGCUCUGCUGGGCCAUAACUGACGCUCAUGGACGAAAGCCAGGGGAGCGAAAGGGAUUAGAUACCCCUGUAGUCCUGGCCGUAAACGAUGAACACUAGGUGUCGGGGGAAUCGACCCCCUCGGUGUCGUAGCCAACGCGUUAAGUGUUCCGCCUGGGGAGUACGCACGCAAGUGUGAAACUCAAAGGAAUUGACGGGGGCCCGCACAAGCGGUGGAGUAUGUGGUUUAAUUCGAUGCAACGCGAAGAACCUUACCAGGGUUUGACAUCCUGCGAAUCCCUUGGAAACUUGGGAGUGCCUUCGGGAGCGCAGUGACAGGUGGUGCAUGGCUGUCGUCAGCUCGUGUCGUGAGAUGUUGGGUUAAGUCCCGCAACGAGCGCAACCCACGUCUUUAGUUGCCAGCAUUAAGUUGGGCACUCUAGAGAGGCUGCCGGUGAUAAACCGGAGGAAGGUGUGGAUGACGUCAAGUCAUCAUGCCCCUUACAUCCUGGGCUACACACGUACUACAAUGCUACGGACAAAGGGCAGCAAACUCGCGAGAGCUAGCAAAUCCCAUAAACCGUGGCUCAGUUCAGAUCGUAGGCUGCAACUCGCCUACGUGAAGGAGGAAUCGCUAGUAAUCGCAGGUCAGCAUACUGCGGUGAAUACGUUCCCGGGCCUUGUACACACCGCCCGUCACACCAUGGAAGUUGGCCACGCCCGAAGUCGUUACUCCAACCCGCAAGGGAGGAGGAUGCCGAAGGUGGGGCUGAUGACUGGGGUGAAGUCGUAACAAGGUA
rnacentral:rRNA from 1 species